rnacentral:rRNA from 1 species
AAUUAGAAUUAUUAGAGAUAAAUUCAAAUGCCCAUAGAAAAUGGGCAUAAAAAAAUGAAAUUUUGAGGGUUUAUUUGAUUGCUAUUUUAUAAGGAAAGCUAUUAAUAUACAGUACUCAUAAUUUUGCAAGACAAUAUGUGCUGUGUAUGUAAAGCAGCACAUAAUGGUCAUAUAAAACAAAACAAAAUAAAAUAAAUUAAGAAGUAAAGCACUUAAAAAUUUUAUACUUGAUAUAUAAAUUAUAAUUAUAUAGAUAAAAAGAUAUUAUGUGGAGGUAUGUUUACAUAUCAUCAUACAUGAUGUUUAUAUAAUUUAUACAAGUAUGGAAAGAAAUUAUUAUAGAAUUUAAGCUAUAUAUUAAAGAGAAUUAUUUAUAUACAUGUAUAUGAUAUAUAUCAACUCUAAGAGAAAUUAAAUAAUAAACGAAGUGAAUUGAAAUAUCUUAGUAACUUUAGGAAAAGAAAUCAAAAGAGAUUCUAUGAUUAGCGUGAGCUAAAAUAGACAAGCCUAAAAAGUAAAAUGGUUAAUAAACUGUUUAAAUUAAAUGGGGAACCUUCCUCAAAGGCUAAAUAUAAUAUAUAAGCAAUAGUGAAAAGUACCGUGAGGGAACUAAAAGAAAAAUAGUGAUUUUAUAAGCAGUUCGGAAAAAUAAAAAAGUUAGAACGUACCUUUUGCAUAAUGGGUCACCAAGUUAACAUUAGAUGCGAGAAUAGACGUAGUUAAACCGAGCGUUAAAAUAACGUAAAGUGUCUAAAGUUAGACCCGAAGCCUGGUGAUUUUACCAUAAUCAGGAUUAUAAAAGUCCGAACCGAUUAUUGUAGCAUAAAUAUCGGAAGAAUUAUGGUAGGUGUAGUGAAAGACAAUACUGACCAGGAUAGCUGGUUUUCUGCGAAACCUAUAAUAGUAGGCAAUUUAAGUAUAAUAUCUUAGCAGGUACAGAAUUUAAUCUCAGACAAGACAUUGUGCGUGGCUUUAUAAUAUAAAGCUCGCUAUUGUUUUAUUUUGUACAAAUGGGGGGAUCAUGAAGAUUUUAUCCGUGAGUAUGCAGACUCGGAAUGGCAAAGAUAUAUCUUAAAUUAUCAGACAUAGAAUGAUAAGGUUGUAUGUCAAAAGGGAAACAGCCCAGAACAAGAGUUAAGGUUCCUAAAUUAUUCGUUGAGUGAAAUUAAGAAGGUUUUUAUUAAAGUCGACAAGGAGAUAGGCUUAGAAGCAGCCAUAAUUUUAUGACCUCGUAACAGAGCGCUUGUUAAAUUUUAAAAGCAUCGAAAAUUUACCGGAUCUAAACAAUAUACCGAAACCUUGUCCAUGAUAAUUUAUAAUAAAUAUUUAUUAUAAUUAAAUGGGGUAGCAGAACGUUGAGCUGAAUUAUGAUUUCUAUUUUUUAAAUAGAAUUAUGUGCGCUCUAUUAUAUAAUAAAGUAGCCAAAAUUUAACUCAAGCGAUAAUGGUGACAUGAGUAACUAAAAGAAAAUUUUCCGCCUAAAGCUUAUGGAUGUAAUUAAGUAACGGCCUCUAAGUUUAUAUUAUCUAAAGAUUUAAACGAUGAGAUAAUCUUUAUUACUAAGGACGACAUUUUAAGUGAAAAAUGUACUGGAAAAAUAGUAAUAUAUUUAUAUAUAUACGUGUAUAUAAAUGAAAAGUAACCGUACCUAGAAUCUGAAACAAGUAAGCUAGUAGAGAAUACGAAGGCGUAAAUGAGCUAACAAUCAUAAAGGAACUCGGCAAAUUGACUACCGUAACUUCGGGAUAAGGAGAGCUCAUUAUUCUUGAUUAAUAUCAAGUAAAGAGGAAGAAGCAUGAAAUAGUGUUGUACGACUGUUUAAUUAAAACACAGCACUUUGCUGAAAGAUUAAAAAUCUAAGUAUAGAGUGUGAUGUCUGCCCGGUGCCGGCUGGUUAACAGAUAUAAUUGGAUAUACUAAUAUCUGAUGUAGACGGAAACCCCGGUUAAAGGCGGCCUUAACGUGAGGGUCCUAAGGUAGCGAAAUGCCUUGGCCGUUAAAUGCGGUCUUGCAUGAAUGAUGUAACGAUACAACAGCUGUCUCUAUGAUUGACUCAGUGAAAUUGGAAUAGCUGUGCAGAUACAGUUUACCUCUAGUUAGACGAGAAGACCCUAUGCAGCUUUACUGUCACUAAUUAUAGAGUAUGAUAAACAAUUUUCAGUUUAUAAGGUAAUUGACUAAAUGACAAUGAGAAUCCUUUAUUUUUUUUUCAUAUGAAUGAAUUGAUUUAGGAUUAUGAGAUGUGAUAAACAAAUCAUUUUAGUAAAUCAACCUAGUUCAGCUUAUUUUUUUAUAAAAUAAGUACCCUUUGGUGAGGAACUAUCGCUAGGGGACAGUUUAUGUGGGGCACAGACCCUGUAAAGAGUAAACAGGAGUGUCUAAUAAUUUAAAAUUAUUUUGUUUGCGAUUUAAGGUAGUUUAACUAUUUUUAAUCAUAUAAAAUUAUAUAUAUGUACAUCUGGUUGGCAGCUGUAAAGCUAAAGCCAUGCUUGCAUGUAUAUAUAUUUAAAAAAAGGUAGGAUUUUCACUAUAUAGAAAUUAGAGAUAAUUAGAAAUAUUAUGUACUGCAUGUUUCUCAUUUUUUUGAUAAAAGCAGCGACUAAUAUUUUUUAACUAUUAUUGGAUUGCAUACUUCUGGGCUUCGUAGAAGCCAAGAAAUAUAGCUAAAGUUCUAAUAGUUAUGUUUAAAAUAUCUAAAAAGCUCAACGGCUUAAUCUUGCCUUACUGUUUGAUUAUCAACAAAUCUUACAGUUGCGUAAGCAGGGCAUAGGAUCACAAGAUGCAACAAGGAAAGAUCUUGGAUUAUUGGAAAAGCUACGCUAGGGAUGUUUGUCCCU